rnacentral:rRNA from 1 species
ACGCUGGCGGCGUGCCUAAUACAUGCAAGUCGAACGAGAGCGACCGGUGCUUGCACUGGUCAAUCUAGUGGCGAACGGGUGAGUAACACGUGGGUAACCUGCCCAUCAGAGGGGGAUAACAUUCGGAAACGGAUGCUAAAACCGCAUAGGUCUUCGAAUCGCAUGGUUUGAAGAGGAAAAGAGGCGCAAGCUUCUGCUGAUGGAUGGACCCGCGGUGCAUUAGCUAGUUGGCGAGGUACGGCUCACCAAGGCCGUGAUGCAUAGCCGACCUGAGAGGGUGAUCGGCCACAUUGGGACUGAGACACGGCCCAAACUCCUACGGGAGGCAGCAGUAGGGAAUCUUCCGCAAUGAACGCAAGUCUGACGGAGCAACGCCGCGUGAGUGAAGAAGGUUUUCGGAUCGUAAAACUCUGUUGUUAGAGAAGAACAAGUGCUAGAGUAACUGUUAGCGCCUCGACGGUAUCUAACCAGAAAGCCACGGCUAACUACGUGCCAGCAGCCGCGGUAAUACGUAGGUGGCAAGCGUUGUCCGGAUUUAUUGGGCGUAAAGCGAGCGCAGGCGGUUCCUUAAGUCUGAUGUGAAAGCCCCCGGCUCAACCGAGGAGGGUCAUUGGAAACUGGGGAACUUGAGUGCAGAAGAGGAGAGUGGAAUUCCAUGUGUAGCGGUGAAAUGCGUAGAUAUAUGGAGGAACACCAGUGGCGAAGGCGACUCUCUGGUCUGUAACUGACGCUGAGGCUCGAAAGCGUGGGUAGCAAACAGGAUUAGAUACCCUGGUAGUCCACGCCGUAAACGAUGAGUGCUAAGUGUUGGAGGGUUUCCGCCCUUCAGUGCUGCAGUUAACGCAUUAAGCACUCCGCCUGGGGAGUACGACCGCAAGGUUGAAACUCAAAGGAAUUGACGGGGACCCGCACAAGCGGU